GCUGGAGAUAUCUUGGCCAUAGAUUUCUCUCACCAUUUCAGUAGGGUUCUUUCUACUUUCAAACAAUUUCAUGUGCCAAAAUAUCCAAAAUUAUUUCCAAGACAUUACUCUCAAACCUGGCUUAACAUGUUUUCUCCACCCAGUCCUUCUCUCAAGUCACUGGUUAAUAUUUUGAAGCCAUCCAGAAAAAAGAAGGAAGGGCCACUCUUUUAAUCUUCUGUUUCCCUUGAGCCACUGUAUUGAGCUGAGAGGUUUUAUUUUCAUUUGUCACUGAAAACAUUAAUAAAUCCUACUUCUUACUCUCUGAGGUCUAAAAGAAGGCAGUGUUUUCAAUCAUAAAGAAUGAAGAAAGAAAUAUGCCAUCCUUACUCUCUUCCAACCUCUGAUUUUCUGCUUUUGCUCCCCAUUGGCCAAACACAUCUCAAUUCCAGAGAGCACAAGACACCUUUGGUGCAGGGAAGCCUGCCAGGGCACACAGGAUGGAGAAGAAUGGAAAGUGGAUUUGGAGAGGCAAACGACAGUAAUCUACUCUAAUAAGAAAGACAAAAAUAAGAAGAAAACAAGGUGACACUAUGGAUUUUAUUGAGGAAGCAAGAAAUAAAGACUCCAGAGUUUGCCUGAGAAAAGCAUAAAUUUAACCCCAAAUACUAUCCUUUCAUCUUGCAGAUAUGUACAGUAAAACACAAUUGUCAACAUGAGUAUCCUGGAAAGUAAAGUUAAACACACACAUACACACACACACACACACACACACACACACACACACACAAACACACAGUCCUGAGUUAUCAAAGAUAAAAAUCAAUUUCGAUCACCACGUUCUAGGAAUAAAGCCCAGAAAUUCAACACAAACUGCUUGAAAUAAAAAAAAAGACUGUUGUCA